rnacentral:lncRNA from 1 species
CUCUUUUAAAUCUUUAUUAAACUUUAUUUAUCAUUCUAAAUUAUGUCAAUUACCACAUGGUAAUAAUUAAAUUAUUUAAUGCCCAAAAAGGCGCAAGCCAGGGCCGACCGUGCAAGGGCUGUAUAGCCAGUCAAGGUCGUUAAAAACUUCCAUUUGUUGUAAUGUGAAAAUGACUAGCAGGAUAUGCUUACCCUUCCGGAGCACAUGAUGUCACCCUUAGUGUUUGGUGGGGUUCUUUAUAGCUUACUGUUCGUUGUGAGCCUAGGCAUCGUGUUGAAGGUCGUACUUUGACUUAUGAUGGUUUAAUUUUACAAAUUGUGACUUGGAUAAAGAGUUGUCUCAUUGGUACUCAUACCACAUCUUCUUAUAUCUAUUUAGUUUACAAUGUUGUGUUUAGUGUACUAUUGUUUGUCUGUUUGUCUUUUUCUUUUCUAUCCAUAUCGUUGUCAGUUUAUUUACGACUUAUGCAUGUUAUGAGUUUGAUAUCUUUUGCCUCGCUUUUACUACAGCGUAAUGUUAACUCUAGUGGAUAUAAUCCUCAUCGUCGCCAUUAUACCACAUCUCCUCAUUUUAUAUUAAGACUAUCAGUGGCUUCGGUAAGAUCUU